CCCCCUCAGGGAUGAUGAUGGAACAGUAAUUACCAAGAAAGCCAGCAACCUGCAGAGAGCAGGAGUGUCUUGCUUGUACUUAGAGGUGCUGAAGUCUUGAAUAUAUUGGAAUCAAAAUUUGGUCUCUGAACAACUGAAUCUGCAGAUGGUGACAGGGAUGGUAUGAGUAGAAUGAAAAAGGCAGACCCAAGUAAAUACUACAGUCUGAAAAGGGAAAUGUGAUACCCCAGGAAGCAUCCGCAUUGCUUAAAUGGAUUCGUGCGAGGGGCUUUAGCGAGCAGACAUUGAUUGGCUUCUCUCUGGGGCCCGCUGCAGGCCCGACGGGUUCUGCUUUGACACAGGCAGCAAAUGAAAUACGACCUCCUGUAAACGGGCCUGAGCUUCUGGGCCUUUGUGGAAUCCGGGAGCUAAGGACCUUUUCAAUCCCUUUUAAUUAAUGAAGUGAUUUGACUUGACUGAGAUUACACUUGCAAUAAUGAAUUAAAAAGUAAUAA
rnacentral:lncRNA from 1 species